UACGGAGGGUGCAAGCGUUAUCCGGAUUCACUGGGUUUAAAGGGUGCGUAGGCGGGCAGGUAAGUCAGUGGUGAAAUCUCCGAGCUUAACUCGGAAACUGCCGUUGAUACUAUCUGUCUUGAAUACCGUGGAGGUGAGCGGAAUAUGUCAUGUAGCGGUGAAAUGCUUAGAUAUGACAUAGAACACCAAUUGCGAAGGCAGCUCACUACACGAGCAUUGACGCUGAGGCACGAAAGCGUGGGGAUCAAACAGG
rnacentral:rRNA from 1 species